rnacentral:rRNA from 1 species
AAUCCAGCCAUACCGCGUGUGUGAAGAAGGCCUUCGGGUUGUAAAGCACUUUAAGCAGGGAGAAAAAGUUAUAAGUUAAUACCUUAUAACCCUGAUGUUACCUGCAGAAUAAGCACCGGCUAAUUCCGUGCCAGCAGCCGCGGUAAUACGGAAGGUGCAAGCGUUAAUCGGAAUUACUGGGCGUAAAGCGCGCGUAGGUGGUUUGUUAAGUUGGAUGUGAAAGCCCUGGGCUCAACCUAGGAACUGCAUCCAAAACUAACUCACUAGAGUACGAUAGAGGGAGGUAGAAUUCAUAGUGUAGCGGUGGAAUGCGUAGAUAUUAUGAAGAAUACCAGUGGCGAAGGCGGCCUCCUGGAUCUGUACUGACACUGAGGUGCGAAAGCGUGGGUAGCGAACAGGAUUAGAUACCCUGGUAGUCCACGCCGUAAACGAUGACAACUAGCUGUUGGGAGACUAUGUCUUUCAGUGGCGCAGCUAACGCUUUAAGUUGUCCGCCUGGGGAGUACGGCCGCAAGGCUAAAACUCAAAUGAAUUGACGGGGACCCGCACAAGCGGUGGAGCAUGUGGUUUAAUUCGAUGCAACGCGAAAAACCUUACCUACUCUUGACAUACUUGGGAGCUCUUGUAAUGAGAGUGUGCCUUAUGGAACCAAGAUACAGGUGCUGCAUGGCUGUCGUCAGCUCGUGUCGUGAGAUGUUCCGUUAAGUCGGAUAACGAGCGCAACCCUUACCCUUAUUUGCCAGCGAUUCGGUCGGGAACUAUAAGGGGACUGCCGGUGAUAAACCGGAGGAAGGUGAGGACGACGUCAAGUCAUCAUGGCCCUUACGAGUAGGGCUACACACGUGCUACAAUGGGGA